rnacentral:rRNA from 1 species
CAUGCAAGUCGAGCGGUAGAGAGAAGCUUGCUUCUCUUGAGAGCGGCGGACGGGUGAGUAAUGCCUAGGAAUCUGCCUGGUAGUGGGGGAUAACGUUCGGAAACGGACGCUAAUACCGCAUACGUCCUACGGGAGAAAGCAGGGGACCUUCGGGCCUUGCGCUAUCAGAUGAGCCUAGGUCGGAUUAGCUAGUUGGUGGGGUAAUGGCUCACCAAGGCGACGAUCCGUAACUGGUCUGAGAGGAUGAUCAGUCACACUGGAACUGAGACACGGUCCAGACUCCUACGGGAGGCAGCAGUGGGGAAUAUUGGACAAUGGGCGAAAGCCUGAUCCAGCCAUGCCGCGUGUGUGAAGAAGGUCUUCGGAUUGUAAAGCACUUUAAGUUGGGAGGAAGGGUUGUAGAUUAAUACUCUGCAAUUUUGACGUUACCGACAGAAUAAGCACCGGCUAACUCUGUGCCAGCAGCCGCGGUAAUACAGAGGGUGCAAGCGUUAAUCGGAAUUACUGGGCGUAAAGCGCGCGUAGGUGGUUUGUUAAGUUGGAUGUGAAAUCCCCGGGCUCAACCUGGGAACUGCAUUCAAAACUGACUGACUAGAGUAUGGUAGAGGGUGGUGGAAUUUCCUGUGUAGCGGUGAAAUGCGUAGAUAUAGGAAGGAACACCAGUGGCGAAGGCGACCACCUGGACUAAUACUGACACUGAGGUGCGAAAGCGUGGGGAGCAAACAGGAUUAGAUACCCUGGUAGUCCACGCCGUAAACGAUGUCAACUAGCCGUUGGAAGCCUUGAGCUUUUAGUGGCGCAGCUAACGCAUUAAGUUGACCGCCUGGGGAGUACGGCCG